rnacentral:rRNA from 1 species
GACGAACGCUGGCGGCGUGCUUAACACAUGCAAGUCGAACGGAAAGGCCCUGCUUGCAGGGUACUCGAGUGGCGAACGGGUGAGUAACACGUGGGUGAUCUGCCCUGCACUUCGGGAUAAGCCUGGGAAACUGGGUCUAAUACCGGAUAGGAGCCAUUUUUAGUGUGAUGGUUGGAAAGUUUUUUCGGUCUAGGAUGAGCUCGCGGCCUAUCAGCUUGUUGGUGGGGUAAUGGCCUACCAAGGCGGCGGCGGGUAGCCGGCCUGAGGGGGUGGGCCGCCACCUUGAGACUGAGGUACGGCCCAGACUCCUACGGGAGGGAGAAGGGGGGAAUAUUGCACGAGGGGCGCAAGGCGGAUGCAGAGGCUCCGCGGGGGGGAUGACGGCCUUCGGGUUGUAGAAUCCUUUCGCUAGGGACGAAGCUUUUUGUGACGGUACCUAGAUAGGAAGCACCGGCUAACUACGUG